GGUUUUUUGAUAAUAAUUUAAAAUUUGAUCUGCCCACUGAAGUAUUUAAGGGCCGCAGUAAUUUGACUGUGCAAAGGUAGCAUAAUAAUUAGUUUUUUAAUUGAAAGCUAGAAUGAAUGAUUGGACAAAAAUGAUAUUGUCUUAGUUUAAUUUUAUUAAAAUUUAAUUUUUAAGUAAAAAAGCUUAAAUAAUAAUUAUAGACGAGAAGACCCUAUAGAGUUUUAUAUUAAUUAUAUUUAUUAGUUAAGUAGAAAUUUUAUAUUAAUAAAUUUAAUAUAUUUAUUUGGGGUGAUAGAAAAAUUUAUUAAACUUUUUUAUUAUUAAAACAAUUAUUUUUGGAUAUUUGAUCCUUAUUUAGAUUAUUAGAUUAAAUUACCUUAGGGAUAACAGCGUAAUUUUUUUGGAGAGUUCUUAUUAAUAAAAAAGAUUGCGACCUCGAUGUUGGAUUAAGAUUUAUAAUUAAUGAAGAAGUUAAUUUAAUUAAGUCUGUUCGACUUUUAAAAUCUUACA
rnacentral:rRNA from 1 species